rnacentral:rRNA from 1 species
AACGAACGCUGGCGGCAGGCCUAACACAUGCAAGUCGAGCGGGGACUUCGGUCCUAGCGGCGGACGGGUGAGUAACGCGUGGGAACGUGCCCUUUGCUUCGGAAUAGCCCCUGGAAACGGGGAGUAAUACCGGAUGUGCCCUAUGGGGGAAAGAAUUUCGGCAAAGGAUCGGCCCGCGUUGGAUUAGGUAGUUGGUGGGGUAAUGGCCUACCAAGCCGACGAUCCAUAGCUGGUUUGAGAGGAUGAUCAGCCACACUGGGACUGAGACACGGCCCAGACUCCUACGGGAGGCAGCAGUGGGGAAUCUUAGACAAUGGGCGCAAGCCUGAUCUAGCCAUGCCGCGUGAGCGAUGAAGGCCUUAGGGUUGUAAAGCUCUUUCGUGGGGGGAAGAUAAUGACGGUACCCCCAAGAAGAAGCCCCCGGCUAACUCCCGUGCCAGCAGCCGC